GGGCGGGGGACUGGGAGGGAAAAGUUCGGAAAAACUUUUACCCUGAAUUCGCUCAGGGACGAAAACGCGCAGAAAGGGAAUUUGCUUCAAAGAUUUGUUCCUCUUCCUGGUGCACUCAGAUGCGCAUUCCUGAGCAGGGGCGCCUUCGCCAGCGGCGUUUGAGGGGAGCGAGGACCGCGCAGCGCCCCUUCGGGGAGAGACGUGACCAGGAGUCGCGUUAGGACUGCAAAGGCUGGCUCUGGCGGGGCUUUCGGGUCGCCGGGUCCUCAAUGUGGGGUUUGGGACGGGACGAGAAGGGGGUGCGCCUUGCGGAUCGCCUCUUUCCCCCCGGACCCAAAGAGUCCACGCGAGGCCACAGUCCCCUCUCCCCUCCCCCGAGUUAUAAAAAGGAGGAGGGGCCGCCUCCGAGGAGAAACCCGAGUCGGGCGGAGGGGGCCGAGUGACGGCGGGAGGAAGGACCCCUCGGAGGAAGGGCCCGAAGCAGGGAGAGCGGGGAACCCGGGCUCAGGCCACCCCGCCCGCGCGCACGGCCUGGAGUCUGGGGAACUGGGGUGACUCUAGCGAGGUUUUAAGGAAACGAAGACGGCGUUGGGGAGACUGGUUCUAGAAGUAACCUGAGACCGAGCGCCCAGGAACACUCUGUACGACGCGCCGGGCGUCUCAGUGGCCCCGUGUGCCUUGGUUCUGCGGCGUGUGCCCUUUCGGGAUCCCAUCUUCGUUGCAGAAGCAACCAUUUGAUCCUCCAUUUAGAAUCUGCGUAGGAAUGUUUUAAUGCGUCUUAGAAACCAGGCUAAUUAAAGAGUUUUCAAAACACAAAGCGGGGUUAUCCUCGUUCUCGGGUAGCGUUUUCUGAUUGGCAAACGUUCUUUUGUUCUCGGUUAAAUCUUCGUCUUGAGCCAGGCGCUGGGCGCUCGCGCGCGCUCUCUGGUUACUCCUGCGGGGGUCAUAAGUCACCAGGGGGCCUCUCCCCUCUCUCCGGGCUGCCAGGAAUAUCAGGAAUUCCCAUGCAGGAAAGUGACAUGUUGAGAAGGAAAAGAAAAAAAUCAAUCAAUCAAUCUCUCCUCCUCCUCCUCUUUCCUCUGUCUCUCUCUCUCUCUCUCU
rnacentral:lncRNA from 1 species